rnacentral:rRNA from 1 species
UACGGAGGGAGCUAGCGUUGUUCGGAAUUACUGGGCGUAAAGCGCACGUAGGCGGCUUUCUAAGUCGGGGGUGAAAUCCUGGAGCUCAACUCCAGAACUGCCUUCGAUACUGGAAAGCUCGAGUCCGGGAGAGGUGAGUGGAACUGCGAGUGUAGAGGUGAAAUUCGUAGAUAUUCGCAAGAACACCAGUGGCGAAGGCGGCUCACUGGCCCGGUACUGACGCUGAGGUGCGAAAGCGUGGGGAGCAAACAGG